UACGUAGGGUGCGAGCGUUAAUCGGAAUUACUGGGCGUAAAGCGUACGCAGGCGGCUGGGCAAGAUAGAGGUGAAAUCCCCGGGCUCAACCUGGGAACUGCAUUUGAGACUGCCAGGCUAGAGUAUUGCAGAGGGGGAUGGAAUUCCAGGUGUAGCGGUGAAAUGCGUAGAGAUGUGGAGGAACACCGAUGGCGAAGGCGAUCCCCUGGACAAAUACUGACGCUCAGGCGCGAAAGCGUGGGGAGCAAACAGG
rnacentral:rRNA from 1 species